UCAGCAGUGGAGAACUGUGGGAGCUGGUGU
rnacentral:piRNA from 1 species